GCUGGCUCCCUUGAUCCGCGCGCCGAAUUUGGUGUGCCUGACUUGAGGCAUUCGAGUCGAGUUUUUGGGUGCGCUAGCGGGGAAUUCAUCAAACUAAUAUGGGGGAGACCGAUAGCGUACAGUACCGUGAGGAAAGAUGCAAAGAACUUUGAAAAGAGAGUUAAAAAAUGCUGAAAAAGCGAAGGAAACCAGUGUCGUCCCCGUCAUACUUCUUGCUCGCUUGCGGGCAGGGCGCUGUGCUAGGCGCUUGGUU
rnacentral:rRNA from 1 species